rnacentral:rRNA from 1 species
UACAGAGGUCUCAAGCGUUGUUCGGAUUCAUUGGGCGUAAAGGGUGCGUAGGCGGCGGGGCAAGUCAGGUGUGAAAUCUCGGGGCUCAACCCCGAAACUGCACUUGAUACUGCCUUGCUAGAGCUCUGGAGAGGAGAUUUGGAAAUUUCGGUGUAGCAGUGAAAUGCGUAGAUAUCGUAAGGAAGACCAGUGGCGAAGGCGAAUCUCUGGACAGCAGCUGACGC